rnacentral:rRNA from 1 species
UACAACUUUCAGCAACGGAUCCCUUGGCUCUCGCAUCGAUGAAGAACGCAGCGAAAUGCGAUAAGUAAUGUGAMUYGCAGAAUUCAGUGAAUCAUCGAAUCUUUSAMCSCACCUUGCGCUCCUUGGUAUUCCGAGGAGCAUGCCUGUUUGAGUGUCAUU